rnacentral:rRNA from 1 species
UUUUAUGGAGAGUUUGAUCCUGGCUCAGGAUGAACGCUGGCGGCGUGCCUAAUACAUGCAAGUCGAGCGAACAGACGAGGAGCUUGCUCCUUUGACGUUAGCGGCGGACGGGUGAGUAACACGUAGGUAACCUACCUAUAAGACUGGGAUAACUUCGGGAAACCGGAGCUAAUACCGGAUAAUAUUUCGAACCGCAUGGUUCGAUAGUGAAAGAUGGCUUUGCUAUCACUUAUAGAUGGACCUGCGCCGUAUUAGCUAGUUGGUAAGGUAACGGCUUACCAAGGCAACGAUACGUAGCCGACCUGAGAGGGUGAUCGGCCACACUGGAACUGAGACACGGUCCAGACUCCUACGGGAGGCAGCAGUAGGGAAUCUUCCGCAAUGGGCGAAAGCCUGACGGAGCAACGCCGCGUGAGUGAUGAAGGUCUUCGGAUCGUAAAACUCUGUUAUUAGGGAAGAACAAACGUGUAAGUAACUGUGCACGUCUUGACGGUACCUAAUCAGAAAGCCACGGCUAACUACGUGCCAGCAGCCGCGGUAAUACGUAGGUGGCAAGCGUUAUCCGGAAUUAUUGGGCGUAAAGCGCGCGUAGGCGGUUUUUUAAGUCUGAUGUGAAAGCCCACGGCUCAACCGUGGAGGGUCAUUGGAAACUGGAAAACUUGAGUGCAGAAGAGGAAAGUGGAAUUCCAUGUGUAGCGGUGAAAUGCGCAGAGAUAUGGAGGAACACCAGUGGCGAAGGCGACUUUCUGGUCUGUAACUGACGCUGAUGUGCGAAAGCGUGGGGAUCAAACAGGAUUAGAUACCCUGGUAGUCCACGCCGUAAACGAUGAGUGCUAAGU